rnacentral:rRNA from 1 species
GCGUGAAGUUGGAAUUGCUAGUAAUCGCGGAUCAGCAUGCCGCGGUGAAUACGUUCCCGGGCCUUGUACACACCGCCCGUCACACCAUGGGAGCCGGUAAUACCCGAAGUCAGUAGUCUAACCGCAAGGGGGGCGCUGCCGAAGGUAGGAUUGGCGACUGGGGUGAAGUCGUAACAAGGUAUC